GACGAACGCUGGCGGCAUGCCUUACACAUGCAAGUCGAACGGCAGCACGGGGCAACCUGGUGGCGAGUGGCGAACGGGUGAGUAAUGCAUCGGAACGUACCCUUCAGUGGGGGAUAACGUAGCGAAAGUUACGCUAAUACCGCAUAUUCUGUGAGCAGGAAAGCAGGGGAUCGCAAGACCUUGCGCUGAUUGAGCGGCCGAUGUCAGAUUAGCUAGUUGGUGAGGUAAAGGCUCACCAAGGCGACGAUCUGUAGCGGGUCUGAGAGGAUGAUCCGCCACACUGGAACUGGGACACGGUCCAGACUCCUACGGGAGGCAGCAGUGGGGAAUUUUGGACAAUGGGGGCAACCCUGAUCCAGCCAUGCCGCGUGAGUGAAGAAGGCCUUCGGGUUGUAAAGCUCUUUCGGCCGGGAAGAAAUCGCACGGGCUAAUACCCUGUGUGGAUGACGGUACCGGAAUAAGAAGCACCGGCUAACUACGUGCCAGCAGCCGCCGUAACAC
rnacentral:rRNA from 1 species